GGUAAUGUUGAGGUUCUAACUCUGUCCCGUGAUCCGGGACGAGGACCGUGUCUGGUGGGUAGUUUGACUGGGGCGGUCUCCUCCUAAAGAGUAACGGAGGAGUACGAAGGUGCGCUCAGCGUGGUCGGAAAUCACGCGUAGAGUAUAAAGGCAAAAGCGCGCUUAACUGCGAGACCCACAAGUCGAGCAGGUACGAAAGUAGGUCUUAGUGAUCCGGUGGUUCUGUAUGGAAGGGCCAUCGCUCAACGGAUAAAAGGUACUCUGGGGAUAACAGGCUGAUACCGCCCAAGAGUUCAUAUCGACGGCGGUGUUUGGCACCUCGAUGUCGGCUCAUCUCAUCCUGGGGCUGAAGCAGGUCCCAAGGGUAUGGCUGUUCGCCAUUUAAAGAGGUACGCGAGCUGGGUUUAGAACGUCGUGAGACAGUUCGGUCCCUAUCUACCGUGGGCGCUGGAAAUUUGAGAGGAUCUGCUCCUAGUACGAGAGGACCAGAGUGGACGAACCUCUGGUGUACCGGUUGUGACGCCAGUCGCAUCGCCGGGUAGCUAUGUUCGGAAGGGAUAACCGCUGAAAGCAUCUAAGCGGGAAGCCUACCUCAAGAUAAGAUUUCCCUAGGACUUUAUGUCCUCUAAAGAGCCGUUCGAGACUAGGACGUUGAUAGGUUGGAUGUGGAAGCAUAGUGAUAUGUGAAGCUGACCAAUACUAAUUGCUCGUGAGGCUUGACUAU
rnacentral:rRNA from 1 species